CUAUUUAUUUCCUUUUAAACAAAUAUAAUUUAGAUUUUUAAAAAAGAACAACAUUUAUUAAUUAUAAUUAGUAUUAGAUAUUGUGGUAAUGCCUUACUUGGAUGCAUGUUAUAAUGCCUGAUAUCUUGUCAUAAAGUAUUGAAAGAUAAAAUGCAUUAUAAUAUUUCUAGAUUCCUUGUUAGAUCUGAAACUGGUUGUUUGUCGUGUUUUAAUGCAUUAUACUUUCUCAAGUCGUGACAAUGAAUAGAUUAUAUUAUUAUGAGGUAUAACGUGGUUACAUUAUUCACAGUAUCAGACAUGCAUUAUGAUGUGUAUUAAAAUACAUAAUUCAUCAAAAAUACUUGGUAACAUUAACUUAAAGUGCUGAUAUAUAAAGCAUUAUAAACAUAUUCGUAAUGUACAUUAUAAUUCAUUAUAUAUUUUCAUAAAUAAUUAUAACCAAAGUUAAAAUGCAUUGUAAUAUUUGCAGAUUCUGAAAUUGCUUUUUUUAAAGGAAUUAUACUUUCUAAUGGUGUGUUCAAUGAAUAGAUAAGUUUUAUAAUGUAUUAUAAAUAUGGUUACAAUUAUUCAUGAGAUCAAACAGUUCAUUAUAAGGUGCAUUAAAAAAAAAAAAAAAAAAAAGUAAAGUGUUACAAAGUGUUUUAUGAUUAUAUAAUCUAAACAUUCAGAAAUGUCAUGAAAAUCAAAUGGAAAGCAUCACGUCCAGACAGCAGAAGUGACUGAAUUCAGUCUGUUCAGUUUGAUUGACAGGGAUCAUAUAUUACACCUAAAACAUGAUGAUCAUAUUAAACACUGACUCAUUCUCUUCAUAAACACAAGAUUGAUGUUGAUUUAGAUGAUCUAGUGUUAUUAGUGUUUGUCUGUGAUCAGUGUUGUGUGUGAUUGUGUUGAAUGAGCAGCUGCAGUAUCUCUCAGCUGUAUCAGUGCAUCACUGUGACGUCUGACUGACCGAGGUUUUUGUACCACUCUUUAUCACUGUGUGAACACCCUAGUGCUGCCUGGAUAGUGUAAACUCUGACAGUAAUAAUCUCCUGUAUCUUCAGUCUGGACUCCACUGAUGGUCAGAGUGAAAUCACUGCCAGAUCCACUGCCACUGAAUCUAGAUGGAGUUCCAGUAUAACGGCUUGUUGCAUCAUAUAUGAGGAGUUUAGGAGCUUCUCCAGGUUUCUGUAAGUACCAGUAUAAACGAUUACUACUAUACACUGCACUGCU